GACUGAGGGGAGAUAAAGGCACAGGCAGUACAACAGUGUGCCGCAUGGAACACUCUUGGCGGAAACACCCACAGAAAAAUAACUGAAGAACACAGAAGAAGGAAGACCAGAGAGGGAGGAAGGAAGCCAUGCUGGGCCUCAGAGGUCUGGAGAAGAAGAGGAAGAAGAUGCAAGGAACUGAAGAAUACAGAAGAAGGAAGACCAGAGAGGGAGGAAGGAAGCCAUGCUGGGCCUCAGAGGUCUGGAGAAGAAGAGGAAGAAGAUGCAAGGAACUGAAGAAUACAGAAGAAGGAAGACCAGAGAGGGAGGAAGGAAGCCAUGCUGGGCCUCAGAGGUCUGGAGAAGAAGAGGAAGAAGAUGCAAGGAACUGAAGAAUACAGAAGAAGGAAGACCAGAGAGGGAGGAAGGAAGCCAUGCUGGGCCUCAGAGGUCUGGAGAAGAAGAGGAAGAAGAUGCAAGGAACUGAAGAACACAGAAGAAGGAAGACCAGAGAGGGAGGAAGGAAGCCAUGCUGGGCCUCAGAGGUCUGGAGAAGAUGAAUGAAUGAAGAAAUAAUGAUGGUACUCUGCGGGCGAGUGCCUGCCUUGAGGCAUUGAGAGGGGCUGUGUGCCUGCUGGACGCCGCCUGCUAGGGGACCGCGGCCACCCUUGUCCGAGGCAGCUGCUGACCCCCUGCCUUCACCCUUGGCCAAGGCCACAGACACACCAUAACGAACUGCUGCUGAAGGCUGGCUGACAGCUGGACUGUCCCGCCACUGUGUGCAGGCCAGUCAGACAGGUGGCCUGCCGCCCCUGCUGGGGAGCACAUGUGUCCCAUCCUGCCCUGCAGACACAGACAGAUGCUGGACCUCAGCACCCAGGAGGACAC